rnacentral:rRNA from 1 species
GGAGUUAGCCGGUGCUUCUUCUGUGAGUGAUGUCCUUCCUGCCGGCUAUUAACCCGCAGGCCUUCUUCCUCACUGAAAGUGCUUUACAACCCGAAGGCCUUCUUCACACACGCGGCAUGGCUGGAUCAGGGUUGCCCCCAUUGUCCAAUAUUCCCCACUGCUGCCUCCCGUAGGAGUCUGGGCCGUGUCUCAGUCCCAGUGUGGCUGAUCAUCCUCUCAGACCAGCUACGGAUCGUCGCCUUGGUGAGCCGUUACCUCACCAACCAGCUAAUCCGACAUAGGCUCAUCCGAUAGCGCGAGGCCCGAAGGUCCCCCGCUUUCCCCCGUAGGGCGUAUGCGGUAUUAGCCUGGGUUUCCCCAGGUUAUCCCCCACUACCGGGCAGAUUCCUAUGCAUUACUCACCCGUCCGCCGCUCGCCACCAGGGAGCAAGCUCCCCGUGCUGCCGCUCGACUUGCAUGUGUUAGGCCUGCCGCCACGCGUCAUCUGAGCAGAAUACAACCUACACACGAGACGGCGGCGUCGACGACGCG